rnacentral:rRNA from 1 species
UAAGCAUAUCAAUAAGCGGAGGAAAAGAAACCAACAGGGAUUGCCCCCAGUAACGGCGAGUGAAGCGGCAACAGCUCAGAUUUGAAAUCCGGCCUCGGCCCGAGUUGUAAUCUGUAGGGGAUGUCCCUGGCGCGGCGCCUACCGAGUUCCCUGGAACGGGACGCCAUAGAGGGUGAGAGCCCCGUAUGGUUGGACGCCAAGCCUCUGUGGGACUCCUCCGACGAGUCGAGUAGUUUGGGAAUGCUGCUCAAAUUGGGAGGUAAAUCUCUUCUAAAGCUAAAUAUAGGCCAGAGACCGAUAGCGCACAAGUAGAGUGAUCGAAAGAUGAAAAGCACCUUGGAAAGGGGGUUAAAAAGCACGUGAAAUUGUUGAAAGGGAAGCGCCCAUGACCAGACUCGCGCCUGGCGGAUCAUCCAGCGUUCUCGCUGGUGCACUCCGCCUGGUACGGGCCAGCAUCGGUUUCUGCGGGGGGAUAAGAGCAGCGGGGACGUGGCCCCUCCGGGGGUGUUAUAACCCGCUGCACGAUGCCCUCUCGGGGACCGAGGUUCGCGCUCUGCAAGGAUGCUGGCAUAAUGGUCAUCGGCGACCCGUCUUGAAACACGGACCAAGGAGUCGUCCAUUACGGCGAGCGUUUGGGUGUCAAACCCCUACGCGUAAUGAAAGUGAACGCAGGUGAGAGCUUCGGCGCAUCAUCGACCGAUCCUGAUGUAUUCGGAUGGAUUUGAGUAAGAGUCGUACCGGACGGACCCGAAAGAUGGUGAACUAUGCCUGAAUAGGGUGAAGCCAGAGGAAACUCUGGUGGAGGCUCGCAGCGGUUCUGACGUGCAAAUCGAUCGUCAAAUUUGGGCAUGGGGGCGAAAGACUAAUCGAACCAUCUAGUAGCUGGUUACCGCC